GAUGAAGAACGCAGCGAAAUGCGAUAAGUAAUGUGAAUUGCAGAUUUCAGUUAAUCAUCGAAUCUUUGAACGCACCUUGCGCCUUGUGGUAUUCCACAAGGCAUGCCCGUUUGAGUAUCAUUAAAUCAUCAACUCUAAAACCUUUGUGGUUUUUUUUAGAGCUUGGUCUUGAGGGUUUUGCAGGCUUUUUUUUUUCGAGUCUGCUCCCUUUAAAUGCAUUAGCGAGACUUCCCUAUGCUGAACCGUCUCUUUGACGUGAUAAUUAUCUGCGUCGAAUUUUGGUUCUCGUUGGGCUUGCUUCUAAUCGUCUGUUAAAGACAAAACGGAUUUGGGUGCAUAUAUGCGCCUUUUUCCAAAACCUUUUUUUGAUCUCAAAUCGGGUAGGACUACCCGCUGAACUUAAGCAUAUCAAUAAGCGGAGGA
rnacentral:misc_RNA from 1 species